AGAGUUUGAUCAUGGCUCAGAUUGAACGCUGGCGGCAGGCCUAACACAUGCAAGUCGAACGGUAACAGGAAGCAGCUUGCUGCUUUGCUGACGAGUGGCGGACGGGUGAGUAAUGUCUGGGAAACUGCCCGAUGGAGGGGGAUAACUACUGGAAACGGUAGCUAAUACCGCAUAACGUCGCAAGACCAAAGAGGGGGACCUUCGGGCCUCUUGCCAUCGGAUGUGCCCAGAUGGGAUUAGCUAGUAGGUGGGGUAACGGCUCACCUAGGCGACGAUCCCUAGCUGGUCUGAGAGGAUGACCAGCCACACUGGAACUGAGACACGGUCCAGACUCCUACGGGAGGCAGCAGUGGGGAAUAUUGCACAAUGGGCGCAAGCCUGAUGCAGCCAUGCCGCGUGUAUGAAGAAGGCCUUCGGGUUGUAAAGUACUUUCAGCGGGGAGGAAGGGAGUAAAGUUAAUACCUUUGCUCAUUGACGUUACCCGCAGAAGAAGCACC
rnacentral:rRNA from 1 species